rnacentral:rRNA from 1 species
CUUUUUGAUUAUAAUUUAAGGUCUAACCUGCCCAAUGAGUGUUAAAUGGCUGCGGUACCCUGACCGUGCAAAGGUAGCAUAAUCAUUAGUUUCUUAAUUGGAAGCUGGAAUGAAAGGUUGAAUGAGAAAAUAACUGUCUCUAUUUAAUUUAAAUUUGAAUUUUAUUUUUAAGUAAAAAAGCUUAAAUAAUUAUAGAAGACGAGAAGACCCUAUAGAGUUUUACUAAUUUAAAGUUUUAAGCAAUUGGGAUUUUACUAACUUUUUAAUAAUAAAUUAGUUUAAUUGGGGUGAUUGAAAAAUUUGAUAAACUUUUUUUGUAUUUUUACAUUUAUUUAUGAGUAUUUGAUCCUUUCUAAUAAAGAUUAUAAGAAAAAAUUACCUUAGGGAUAACAGCGUAAUUUUUUUAGAGAGUUCUUAUCGAAAAAAAAGAUUGCGACCUCGAUGUUGGAUUAAAAUAAAAUUUUGGUGUAGAAGCUAAA